UGCACUGACUCGAUCGAUUUUGAUCUUGUGCCUCUUUUGACUAGCAAGUGCGUUUAAACCGAAAGCGGAAGGGCACAGCAUAGCUCGUCUCCAAUGCUAAGCGGAAUUGUUACUUCAUUGUGGUCUUGUAUUGAAAUUUAUUACAUUGAGGCUGGUCGGUGUAUGGCCCUACUGGAUGUAGACUACACUCAAGUGGAAGGUGACAUCAUUACGUUACCAUCGACCAGGUCUGUGGGCCACAUGGUGGCGAAGUUGAAGAAGGUUAAUGAGGUAGAAGAGGACACCUGAUGAGGGGGAUGUCCUGGAUAGUGC